GGAGUGAAUWAUUAAAAUAUUUUUAUAUA
rnacentral:rRNA from 1 species